UUUUUUUUUUUUUUUUUUUUUUUUUUAAAGAUAAAAUGAGUUUAUUAGAAAAUUAGACUUGUGGCUCUCUUCACUAAUACUGAAGGCGGGAAGAGAGGGAGAAAUAAAGGUAAAAUAGGACUGGCUGGAUCAGCUGGUGGCUGCUAAGGUGCAGGGAUGGCUUUACAGAGGCCACAGUAUUCUCUAGGGCUACGGAUGCAGUUCAGUGGCCAAGCACUGGCCUCAUGUAUAUAAAGCCCAGGGUCUUUUGGUCCAUCCUUCCCUCUAGGGUAGAGGACCCCAGGCUUUACAUACACCAGAAGGAAGGAUGGACAGAAGGAAGACAGAAAGGAAAGGUGGGACUCAUAUAGCUUCGCAUACAUUUAACAUAAAGCCCUUGAGGAAGAUGACUUUUCUCGCAGGACGUGACAGGAGUUACCUGAAGAUGAAGUUUUCCCCUUUCCGGUCUUGCAGUGGGUUUUCCUGGAUGAUGUCCUGGGUCAGAGGUGAGCUCUGUCGUGGGGAUUUGGAGUGGCCAGCAUUGUCACAGGACCGUAUGGAAGGAGGGCCCUUUUUCUUCCGUGGAAGAGUGCCAUGUAUAGACACGUCUUGAUAGGCAUCUGUGCGACGCUCAGCAAGAGGGGACUUGCUGCUCAGGAGGUCCAUGGACGAGGCCAAGGGGAACUGGUGAUUCACAGGCAUGUUUCUGGGAAGGCUUGCAAACUUUCCCGCAGCCAUGAUUCUUAACUCU
ensembl:antisense Gm42836 predicted gene 42836